rnacentral:lncRNA from 1 species
GCUUGGCCUGUCAAUCUCAUCACCAGGGCAGAGAGGGUUUGCCAGGACCCCCAGGGCCCCAGGGGCCCAAGGCGGACGCGGCGGAGGGCGGCCUCGCGGGCUUUCCAGGCGAGCGCGGCCCCACCGGACCCAAGGGAGCCAAGGGCGAUCCGGGCGCUGAGGGCGAGCGUGGACCCAAAGGCGAUAAGGGCGAAGCUGGACCACGGGGCGAGCGAGGAGAGCCUGGCGAGAAGGGCAGGGACGGCUCCCCGGGCCUCCCGGGAGAGAGAGGGCUGGCCGGCCCCGACGGGAAGCCGGGCUUGCCAGGUUUCCCCGGCGUGCUGGGCCGCCCGGUAGGUGUCUGUGCCACCUGCAUGUCACCGUCCCCCUGUGCGCGGCUGGGGCCCGCUGGCCCGGCUGCACCCUCUCCUCC